GCAGGCCUAGCGUCCCAGAAACAGGAGGCUCAUCAGGCUACUUUCACACUUGCGGCAGAGUGAUCCGGCAAGCAUGCUGCAGUAUUUCAGCAGGACCUGCGCUGACGUCACCGCGCUCAGCACAUGGUCAUCACAGGUCUUCUGUCCAGAAAGAAGAAGACGAUGCUGGCUGCGCGAACAAGUGGAUGAGAUGAGCUCUAAUUCUGGUUUUACGCUGGAGAAGACGUCUUAGAGCCAGACGGCGUAGAAAGCUUCGCUAUUGGGUGCAUCCAAUAACCUCUGCAAGAGUAAGAAGGGGAGUUUUUGAAACUCUGUUUCCUGAAUUGAGGGAUUAUCCUGAAAAAUUCUUUAACUACUUACGGAUGACGGUAGAAAGUUUUGACAAGACACCACUUUCCGUCGCUGUGUUUCCCCAGCAGAACGCCUAUUGUUGACCAUAAGGUGCGGUAGAUGGGAAACAUAUUCGUAUUAUCAAGCCCCACGGAACCGGAUCAGAGUAUUUCAAUUGCAAGAAAUAUUUUUCAAUAAUACUAAUGGCCAUCACAGAUGCUCAAUAUCGUUUUGUUGCAGUGGACGUAGGGGCCUAUGGACGCGCCAACGAUUCCAUGGUAUUUAAAAAUUCAAAUAUGGGUCGUAGUCUAUAUAACGGACAAUUCGAUUUUACUCUCCCUCAACCACUGCCAGGUACUGAUGGCCCACCCAUGCCGUUUGUAUUGGUUGGUGAUUAGGCCUUCCAAAUGUGUGGAAAUCUAAUUAAACCAUAUUCCAGCCGCGGAUUAGAUUUAAAAAAACGCACAUACAACUACCGCUUAACCAGGGCUCGAAGAAUGGUUGAAUGCACAUUUGGAAUUUUGGUCACAAAAUGGAGGAUUUUCACUAAACCAAUUCAGAUGAAGGUUGAAUCGGUCGGCGAGGUUGUAAAGUCUGCUGUGGUGUUGCACAACUACCUCCUUCAAAAAGAACCACUCAAUUUGGAACAGGUACCGGAGGACAGCGAGAUCGCAAGCAUUGAAAGUUGUCGACAUCGGUCAACUGUAGCGGUUGCACGGAUGAGAGACCCGUUUGCGGAUUAUUUCUGCUCUGAAGCAGGAAGGGUGGACUGGCAGGACCGAUUUGCAUAAACAUUUUGGGAUUCAUUUUCAAAUAACCGUUAAUUUAUG